rfam:Sphingobium quisquiliarum P25 contig158, whole genome shotgun sequence.
UAUGCGGGCCGGGCCCCUCUGGCGAUUGCGUGAACAGCGAUCGUGAUGUCGGACCGCAUCG